GGACCAUUUCCAAAUAAGGUCCCAUGCACAGGUAUCUCAGGUUAGGACUUCAACAUUUCUUUUUGUGGGACAUAAUUCAACCUACAAGCUCUCCAAGUGAUUCUUCCAUUUGUAGGAGAAUGUAGGGUAGUCAAGCUUCCAACACUCCAGACACAUCCAAAUGAGGUGCUGUACGUGGCAGUCUGCCUUUAAGA
rnacentral:snRNA from 1 species